rnacentral:rRNA from 2 species
GACGAACCGUGCGAACGUUAUUCGGAAUCACUGGGCUUAAAGCGCGUGUAGGCGGCCCGGCACGUCAUCGGCUGAAAUCCCCCGGCUCAACCGGGGAACGGGCCGUGAUACGACCGGGCUGGAGGGGGGUAGGGGGGACGGGAACUCACGGUGGAGCGGUGAAAUGCGUUGAGAUCGUGAGGAACGCCCGCGGCGAAAGCGCGUCCCUGGACCCCGCCUGACGCUGAGACGCGAAAGCCAGGGGAGCGAACGGG